CCUGAUGACUCAGAGGGUAAAGAACCUGCCUGUGAUGCAGGACACCAGGGUUCGAACCCUGGGUCGGGA
rnacentral:tRNA from 1 species